rnacentral:misc_RNA from 1 species
GUUGACAAGUCCAAAAACUCUAAGACUGGUACCUGAAAGAUUCUUUUAGGAAAUGUUCCUUGCAGAUUACAAGAGGAGAGGGUCAAGGUAGUCAAGUUUGAGAAAUUGGCAAAGUAUUCAGGAACUGUGGUAGAGAGAUUGUUCUGGUCAAGACGGAUGAAAGAGAGAAAGUGAAGCUUAGAAAGUGAUUCAUCAAUAGGGCCUGAAAUUCGACAAGUACGCAAGCUCAAGACAGUCAAGUUAGGCAAAUAUGAAGAUAAAGAUUGACACCACUCAGUCCUCUGAGCUGAGAGAUCAACCCCAUCAAGGUAAAGCUCUCUAAGCUCUGUUGAGUUCUCAAUGAAAUGACUCAAAUUGGGAUUCUCUAGUUUUAGUGGCUGGGCAA